GCGGCCGGCGCUGCCCAUGCCGGGGCCACCGGGGCCACCACGACGGUGCCCGGGGCUGCUGGACACGGGGUGGCCGGGCAGGGAUGGCCAUCAGGAGCCACCUGGGAGCACAGCAGGGUGGCCAGGCAGGGAUGGCCAUCAGGAGCCACCAGGGAGCACGGCAGGGGCACCCAAGAAAAAAACCAAGAUGUUCCACAAGCAAAGAAUCCCUGCCCAGGACACCUGAUGGAGCAGCGUGGAUGAGGGAGGAUCCCACCAAAGCUCCUGUGACACUGAGAGCCCCAAGCCCCCAUCAGCUUCCCCAGAGGGUGCAGCACGGCCCGAGGCAGCUCCAGUUCCGUCAGCAGCCCCAGCUAUCCAUGAGGAAAUAGAGGGGAUGGGCCGGUUGUUCUCUUGGAGCCAUUAUUGUCGAACUGUGCAGUGGUGAUGGACCAUUCCAUGCCGACGAGGGCCGGGAUCUCUCGCUGUUAAUCCCCUGCCCACCCAGGGCUGGGCUGGGCUAAUGAGGGGCCAGCACCGCGUGUGGGGCUGGGGGCUCCUCCUGCUUUGGGGUCACCAGGUAAGGCUCCAGAUCCACCAGUGUCUCCAACAAUGCUGUCCCCAUCAGCGACAACGUUCGGGACACUACAGCAGUGUAGUGUCCCCUCAUC